rnacentral:piRNA from 1 species
UUACUUUGCCCAUGCCCAGCACAUAAAC